UGGGCUGGGAAGGUGUGGUUAGCAUUUUGAACAUUAAGAUCUCCAUAGAGCUCAUUGAGAUGUAAAAAUUUGUGCAACUCUUUGGAGAAGAUGGGGGAGUAAGUUGUGUUUUCCCGGUGGAGGAAAAUCAUUCUCAGCAGAAAGGAACAUCCAGUGACCCUGGAAACAGAGGAGACAGAAGAACGGCAGCUUUCAGAAUGUUUUUAGCAUUCAUGUGGAGUGCUUCCUGUUCAGCAACGGGCCUUCCUUCCACGUGAAAUGUCCCUGGGGAUUAUCUGGAAUUGGAGCCACCAUAGAAUUUCUGCAAGAGAAGAACAACCCACUGAAAAUCUGGAGCUGGUUACGCCAGGAGGAGGAGCACCAGCUUCUCCCAGGUCUUGGGAGGCCAGCAUCAGUAGAUCUGAGCAUUUGCACAAUGAUUAUGAAAUGUCCAGCAAUUUUCAUGAAUCCUCAACUGACAUUUAGGGAGGUUUGACAUUUUGGGAGGUUUGACCCUUGGUAAUGGAAGGAAAUAUGGCCGCAAAGCUGUCUGCAAUUCUUAGGUGAGCGUUGGCGUGUCCUUGUACAAAGAAAACCUGGUCGUCCCAGGAUGGAGCUCUGCACUCUCCAGCCUUCCUGGACUGGCCACCAGGCAAACAGAGGCUCCAGGGUUCCAGGAGGUAGCUCUUCUCCACCGUGGCCUCUACAGUGGUGGCCACAGGUGGGUCCAUUCCUCUUCCUUCAUGGAAUUCAGAACGGAGGCCCAGUGGAAUGAGCUGUGUUGCCUACCAUCCUCCUGAAAGCUCUCCAGUACAAGGAGCCAGGCACUCGUCCACUCGGGCAGCUUACAGAGCAGAGGUUGAUCUCGCCCUCUGGAGGCCGGGGUCCCAGCUCAAGGCCCCAGCGUUGAGCUGAGGGUCCUCGAGGCUUUCUCCUUGGCUUGCAGAGGGUCCUGUGCUCUCAGCUCUAACCUCCUCUUCACAGACGCACACCAGUCGUGUGGCACCCCAGCACACCCUAAUUAGCCUUUAGCACUUCUUCAAAAAUCCCCUUUAAAUACAGUCACCCUCUGAAGGACUAGAGUUCAGAACGUCAACAUAAGAAUUUGGGGGGGGUGUCACAAAUUCUGUCCAUAACAUCCAGCCCGUUUGUAAACCCUGCCUGAGCAACUCCAGAGGAGGGCAGGAGGUCAUCAGACCCAGUCCUGCCCUUGGGAGCUCACGGCUAGCAGACAGCUCGGGCAACACACACAAGACAGUGACAGAUGAAAUCUGGGUUAAAUGAAGGUUUGCAUUUUCAUGAGACUUCUUCCUUCUGUCCUUUACAAUUUUGAAAAAGGCUUUUUCUUUCUUCUCAGAUGCAACACUCGAGAGAAAGCAAGAACAAAAUCUAACUACAAGUGUUGCCUUUGUGUCUGGGUUUGAAGGCUGGUUCUGGUGGGAAUAUUCAAAAUGGAUGCAAAUGUAAAACGCAGGUCGUGAUGAUCUGAGCAAGAUGGACCAGGACUGCAAUGUCACUUUUGUGUGGAUGUGGCCGGGUCUCCAGUUCUGUGAAGACUGAUUUUCUAUUAAAGCCUGGUUUUUGUUA